GACGAACGCGGCGGCGUGCUUAACACAUGCAAGUCGAACGGGAACCUUUAUUUCGGUAAAGGAGAGAGUGGCAAACGGGUGAGUAACACGUAGGCAACCUGCCGACAGGAUGGGGACAACAUUCCGAAAGGAAUGCUAAUACCGAAUGGAGUCCGAGGAUGGCAUCAUCCUUGGAUCAAAGAUGGCCUCUUAACAAUGCUAUCGCCUGUCGAUGGGCCUGCGUCUGAUUAGCCAGUUGGCGGGGUAACGGCCCACCAAAGCGACGAUCAGUAGCCGGUCUGAGAGGAUGAACGGCCACAUUGGGACUGAGACACGGCCCAGACUCCUACGGGAGGCAGCAGUGGGGAAUCUUCCACAAUGGGCGAAAGCCUGAUGGAGCAACGCCGCGUGAGUGAAGAAGGUCUUCGGAUCGUAAAGCUCUGUUGCACGGGACGAAAACUGGGUUUGAAAACAUUGAACCUGGGUGACGGACCGAGCGAGAAGCCACGCA
rnacentral:rRNA from 1 species